AUACGCCCCUGCCUAUUAAUUUAUAAUUAAUUUUCAGUCAUAUUUGUUUGGUAUAUUAUGUUAAUAAUUUUAAAUCUAGAUGCAACACAUUUUAUUGUGAUAAAUACAAAUGCAGCCAAUGAAACCAAUCAACUCCCUAUAGAGCCCACUGAAAACAACAUUGAAAACAAUCAGAAACAAUCUGAAAGAUAAUCUGGUAAUAAGUCAAAAACUGAUAGCAUUUUAAAAGAAUGUGAAGUAAGAAUCAAAAGACAAAAAAUAGCACUUGACCAUGAAGAAAGUAUGAAUAAGCUACAGGUGAUCUUCUGGGUCGUCACUGUCUGUAUUAUUUUGAUUGAACUGCCGAGACAAAUUAUAAAGCAAUGCGCAAGAAAGAAUAAUAUUGACUAUUGUAUUAGGUGCAUUAGCAAGACCUCUUCUAAGGCAUGGGAAUUUUCUUUUCCAAAGACCAAAUGCUCUUUCAAUGAUAUUUCUCGUUCUAAUAUGUGACUAAUUAUAUUUCUGCUCUGCUGGUGUUAUGGGAUUUCUUAGAGGUGUAAACAAGUAAGGCAUAACAUGUAUAACCUGUGAAUAUACAUUAAAAAAAAAAAAUAAUUAAUAAAUAAUUUAAAAUAAUUUAAUGUAAAAUAAAAAUUCAGAUAUUAAAGCGUUGCACUAAACAUUACUAAACCUAACUACAACAUUUUAUAAAAAUACAUACCGCCAUCUCCAAGUAAUAUCACGUUAAAUGUAGAGUUAGCAAAAUAUUGAUUCGCAUAACUACCGCUAAAUAUGAAGCUGUCAUGGUAACUACUAGGCUAUCUAACAACUAUAUCAAAAAAUUCCAUUGAUGGCCCACAAACCACCUACAUAUUAUAUAUUUUAAAUAACAAUAAUUGCCAACUUUUUCUGUAUUUAUGAUUUUAAUAUCAUUAUUUGCUGCAUACCUGAACAUUUAAAGAAAAGUAACCUUUUCUGUUUAUAAAAGCUUUUGAAUCCGGACCUCCAGGAUUUUAGAUUUUAAUGUGUGUACAAUCGAUACAUCCACCUAUCCCAGGCAUGUUUUACAUUUUGUAAAAUUUAUCUUGUAUAACCUUCCAAUCAUCUGAAUUCCUGGGAAAAUGUACAUGGUGUUUCA